GACGAGCCACCCGAACGUUAUUCGGAAUUACUGGGCUUAAAGGGUGCGUAGGCUGCGCGGCAAGUUGGGUGUGAAAUCCCUCGGCUCAACCGAGGAACUGCGCCCAAAACUGCCGUGCUCGAGGAAGAUAGAGGUAAGCGGAACUUACGGUGGAGCGGUGAAAUGCGUUGAUAUCGUAAGGAACACCUGUGGCGAAAGCGGCUUACUGGGUCUUUUCUGACGCUGAUGCACGAAAGCUAGGGGAGCAAACGGG
rnacentral:rRNA from 1 species